AUUGAACGCUGGCGGCAGGCCUAACACAUGCAAGUCGAGCGGUAACAGARAGUAGCUUGCUACUUUGCUGACGAGCGGCGGACGGGUGAGUAAUGCUUGGGAACAUGCCUUGAGGUGGGGGACAACAGUUGGAAACGACUGCUAAUACCGCAUAAUGUCUACGGACCAAAGGGGGCUUCGGCUCUCGCCUUUAGAUUGGCCCAAGUGGGAUUAGCUAGUUGGUGAGGUAAUGGCUCACCAAGGCGACGAUCCCUAGCUGGUUUGAGAGGAUGAUCAGCCACACUGGGACUGAGACACGGCCCAGACUCCUACGGGAGGCAGCAGUGGGGAAUAUUGCACAAUGGGCGCAAGCCUGAUGCAGCCAUGCCGCGUGUGUGAAGAAGGCCUUCGGGUUGUAAAGCACUUUCAGUCAGGAGGAAAGGUUAGUAGUUAAUACCUGCUAG
rnacentral:rRNA from 1 species